GACAGAACUACGCAGCAACUUCUUUCUGUGGAUGACUCAUCAGCCAGAACCAGGCCUCUCCAGAUGCAGCAUAAGCACAGGCCUUUUGGUCAUGUUUAUGACACAAGCAGAUGGGCAUUUCAUAGCUUAGGAGCAUUGCUGUGCAAAAGUGAGACACUGAAAAUGGCAACUAAUGACAGUAAAAACAUUACAACUCCUCCUCCUAUUAUCUGUGAUUUUGAAGCACCCUUCACGCUCAGAACAAGGAAUCACUUGCUAAAUAAAUUGCAUGAAUCUGGGGGAGGUGAUGGCCUGGUGGUAUUGUCACUGGACUGCUAAUCUAGAGACCCGAAUAACGUUCUGGAUGUUUCCCUGCGUUGGUGAUGUCAUUUCCUGCUCUUUUUCUCAGAGGGUGGUAGAUUGAUUUGGAGCCAAUGUGUUUGUUGAUGGAGUUCCGGUUGGAAUGCCAUGCUUCUAGGAAUUCUCGUGCAUGUCUCUGUGUUUGGCUUGUCCUAGGACGGAUCUUCUCAAAAGUUGCUGACAUUCUAGGGAUCUGGGUUUGAAUCCUACAGCAGAUUGUGGAAUUUGAAUGCCAGUAUCUAGAAUGAAGAGUCUAAUGAUGACAGUGAAUCUGUUGUCGAUUGUUGGGAAAAACCCAUUUGUUUCACUAAUGUCCUUUUUAGGGAAUGAAACUGCCAUCUUUAUUUGGUCUGGUCUACAUGUGACUCCAGACCCAAAACAACAUUGUUGACUCUGAACUGUCCCCUGGACAAUAAAUGCUGCCCACCCAGUGAUGCCCUCAUCCUGUGAAUGAAUUUUUUUUUAAUAAAGAAGCUAAUAACUCAUACACCUAUCAUGAUUUUA